CCUACGGGUGGCAGCAGUGAGGAAUAUUGGUCAAUGGACGCGAGUCUGAACCAGCCAAGUAGCGUGAAGGAUGACUGCCCUAUGGGUUGUAAACUUCUUUUAUAUGGGAAUAAAACAGGGCAUGCAUACCUUUUUGUAUGUACUAUAUGAAUAAGGAUCGGCUAACUCCGUGCCAGCAGCCGCGGUAAUACGGAGGAUCCGAGCGUUAUCCGGAUUUAUUGGGUUUAAAGGGAGCGUAGAUGGGUUGUUAAGUCAGUUGUGAAAGUUUGCGGCUCAACCGUAAAAUUGCAGUUGAUACUGGCAGUCUUGAGUACAGUAGAGGUGGGCGGAAUUCGUGGUGUAGCGGUGAAAUGCUUAGAUAUCACGAAGAACUCCGAUUGCGAAGGCAGCUCACUAAACUGCAACUGACAUUGAUGCUCGAAAGUGUGGGUAUCAAACAGGAUUAGAUACCCUUGUAGUC
rnacentral:rRNA from 1 species